rnacentral:lncRNA from 1 species
UCCCAGCCGUCCCGGAGCCGGUCGCGGCGCACCGCCGCGGUGGAAAUGCGCCCGGCGGCGGCCGCUCGCCGGCCGGGGGGCGGUCCCCCGCCGGCCCCACCCCCGGCCCCGCCCCCCCCGGCCGGGGCCGGGAGGGAGCUGACCGGGUUGGUUUUGAUCUGAUAAAUGCACGCAUCCCCCCCGCGAAGGGGGUCAGCGCCCGUCGGCAUGUAUUAGCUCUAGAAUUACCACAGUUAUCCAAGUAGGAGAGGAGCGAGCGACCAAAGGAACCAUAACUGAUUUAAUGAGCCAUUCGCAGUUUCACUGUACCGGCCGUGCGUACUUA